AGCGAACGCUGGCGGCAGGCCUAACACAUGCAAGUCGAACGAAGUCUUCGGACCUAGUGGCGGACGGCUGAGUAACGCGUAGGUGACCUGCCCCGAAGUGGGGGAUAACUGCCCGAAAGGGUGGCUAAUACCGCAUGUGGCGACGCAUUCAUUGGCGUCAUCAAAGCCGCGAGGCGCUUCGGGAGGGGCCUGCGUCCGAUUAGCUCGUUGGUGGGGUAAUGGCUCACCAAGGCGACGAUCGGUAGGUGGUCUGAGAGGACGAUCACCCAGACUGGGACUGAGACACGGCCCAGACUCCUACGGGAGGCAGCAGUCGGGAAUUUUGCUCAAUGGGCGCAAGCCUGAAGCAGCAACGCCGCGUGCGGGAUGAAGGCCUUCGGGUUGUAAACCGCUUUUACCAGGGACGAUAAUGACGGUACCUGAUGAAUAAGUCACGGCUAACUACGUGCCAGCAGCCGCAGUAAAAC
rnacentral:rRNA from 1 species